rnacentral:lncRNA from 1 species
UUGGACUUCUGAUUUUACUCCAUACAUGUCCUUUGAUGAAGAAACUGAUUUGAUCAAGUUGGACUAACUACAUAGUUUGGAGAGCCAUAUAUAAGGGCAUCUUCAAUGGCAAGCCGUUACUAAUUUUCAUCUCUCUCAUCUUUUUUUCUUUAUUCUUUUUUUUUUCUAAUGGACCCACAUGUCAUUCUCUUUUCAUUCUUGGUACCCAUGCACAAACUGUUACUUCUGCAAGUAACUAGUACUAACUUUUUCUCUUCAUCUCUCCGCCACGUAGGACUAGUACCUACUUAGUACCUCAUAUUGGAGAUGUCCUAAGAUGCCUACCCCAUCAAGUGGGACGCGAGAUCACUGGCUGCGUUGCCAUCGAGGAUACGCCCCUCACUUCAUAGACCGUGAAAAUGUUGCUUUAU